CACCUGCUCCGUCUCAGCCACGGGUAUUCUUGGGUAGAUAAUACGGAUGUCGUUGUUAUUGCUUGAGAAUACGCGUAGCUGGGUGGAGUCCCU
rnacentral:pre_miRNA from 1 species